rnacentral:rRNA from 1 species
GACGAACGCUGGCGGCGUGCUUAACACAUGCAAGUCGAACGGAAAGGCCCUGCUUUUGUGGGGUGCUCGAGUGGCGAACGGGUGAGUAACACGUGAGUAACCUGCCCUUGACUUUGGGAUAACUUCAGGAAACUGGGGCUAAUACCGGAUAGGAGCUCCUGCUGCAUGGUGGGGGUUGGAAAGUUUCGGCGGUUGGGGAUGGACUCGCGGCUUAUCAGCUUGUUGGUGGGGUAGUGGCUUACCAAGGCUUUGACGGGUAGCCGGCCUGAGAGGGUGACCGGCCACAUUGGGACUGAGAUACGGCCCAGACUGCUACGGGAGGCAGCAGUGGGGAAUAUUGCACAAUGGGCGGAAGCCUGAUGCAGCAACGCCGCGUGCGGGAUGACGGCCUUCGGGUUGUAAACCGCUUUCGCCUGUGACGAAGCGUGAGUGACGGUAAUGGGUGAAGAAGCACCGGCUAACUACGUG